AGCGGGGUGGGGCAGUCAGGAGUGCCCGGAGUGAUUCAUUCCGCGAGGAGUGGUCCUGGAAGGCUCAUAUGCACUCGCUGAGAGACCCUCAGGUCAGAGGUUCAAAUCCUCUCCCCGCUA
rnacentral:tRNA from 1 species